rnacentral:rRNA from 1 species
AACGAACGCUGGCGGCAUGCCUAACACAUGCCAGUCGAACGAGACCUUCGGGUCUAGUGGCGCACGGGUGCGUACCGCGUGGGAACCUGCCCUUAGGUUCGGAAUACCUCCCCGAAAGGGGUGCUAAUACCGGAUAAUGUCUUCGGACCAAAGAUGUAUCGCCUUUGGAUGGGCCCGCGUUGGAUUAGCUAGUUGGUAGGGUAAAAGCCUACCAAGGGGACGAUCCUUAGCUGGUCUGAGAGGAUGAUCAGCCACACUGGGACUGAGACACGGCCCAGACUCCUACGGGAGGCAGCAGUGGGGAAUAUUGGACAAUGGGCGAAAGCCUGAUACAGCAAUGCCGCGUGAGUGAUGAAGGCCUUAGGGUUGUAAAGCUCUUUUACCCGGGAUGAUAAUGACAGUACCGGGAGAAUAAGCACCGACUAACUACGUG